ensembl:lncRNA
CUGGAAGAGUCUGGCUGACUGGCAGAUCUGGAAGAGUCUGGCUGACUGGCGGAUCCUGGCAGACUGAAAGAUCUGGCUGCUCCAUGCUGACUGGCGGCUCUGGCUGCUCCACGCUGACUGGUGGCCCUGGCUGCUCCAUGUAGGCUGACAGCUCUGGCGGCUUCUUACAGACUGGCAGCUCUGGCGGCUCCGUGCAGGCUGGCAGCUCCUUGCAGACUGACAGCUCCUUACAGACUGACAGCUCCUUGCAGACUGACAGCUCCUUGCAGACUGACAGCUCCCUGCAGACUGGCAGCUCCUUGCAGACUGGCAGCUCCUUGCAGACUGGAAGCUCCUUGCAGACUGGCAGCUCUGGCUGCUCCAUGCAGACUGACAGCUCUGGCUGCUUCAUGCAGACUGGCAGCUCUGGCUGCUCCAUGCAGACUGACAGCUCUGGCUGCUUCAUGCAGACUGACAGCUCUGGCUGCUCCAUGUAGACUGGCAGCUCUGGCUGCUCCAUGCAGACCGACAGCUCUGGCUGCUCCAUGCAGGCUGGCAGCUCUGGCUGCCCUGAACAGGCGGGAGACUCCAGCAGCGCUGUAGAGGAGGAAGGCUCUGGCUGCGCUGAACAGGCGGGAGACUCCGGCAGUGCAGGAGAGGAGAAAGGCUCUGACAGCGCUGGAGAGGCGAGGCGCACUGUAGGCCUGAUGCGUGGUGCUGGUACUGGUGGUACUGGACCGAGGACAUGCACAGGAAGCCUGGUGCGGGGAGCUGCCACCGGAGGGCUGGUGUGUGGAGGUGGUACUGGAUAGACCGGACCAUGCAGGCGCACUGGAGCUCUUGAGCACCGAGCCUGCACAACCUUACCUGGCUUGAUGCCCACUCUAGCCCGGCCGAUACGCGGAGCUGGAAUAUACCGCACCGGGCUAUGCACCCGCACUGGGGACACCGUGCGCACCACUGCAUAACACGGUGCCUGUCCGGUCUCUCUAGCCCCCCGGUAAGCACAGGGAGUUUGCGCAGGUCCCCUACCUGGCGUAGCCAUACUCCCUGUGAGCCCCCAAUACAUUUUUAGGGCUGACUCUCGGGCUUCCAUCCGCGCCGCCGUGCUUGCUUCGCCAACUCCAUUCUCCGAUAACCCUCUUCACACUGCUCCAUCGAAUCCCAGGCGGGCUCCGGCACUCUCCCUGGGUCGACCGCCCCCCUGUCUAUCUCCUCCCAAGAAGUAUAGUCCAUACUGUACUCCUCUUUGGGCUGCUCCUGCUGCCUCUUCUCCUGCUGCACCUUUGGGCGGCUACACUCCCCUGGUUUAGCCCAGGGUCCUCUACCGUCGAGGAUUUCCUCCCAUGUCCAGAAAUCCUUAUUACGCAUCUCCUCUUUGGGCUGCUCCUGCCUGUUGACACGCUGCUUGGUCCUUUUGUGGUGGGUGAUUCUGUAACGGUUUUCAUGUGGUGAAGGAGAGUCGGACCAAAAUGCAGCGUGUAGAUUGCGAUCCAUGUUUAAUGAACAAACGUAACACGAAUCUAAAUACAAACACUACAAAACAAUAAACGUAACGAAAACCGAAACAGCCUAUACUUGUGUAAACUAACACAGAGACAGGAACAAGGACACUAAGGACAAUCACCCACGAAAAACUCAAAGAAUAUGGCUGCCUAAUUAUGGUUCCCAGUCAGAGACAACGAUAAACAUCUGCCUCUGAUUGAGAACCACUUCAGACAGCCAUAGACUUAACUAGAACACCCCACUAGCUACAAUCCCAAUACAUACACACCACAUACAAAAACCCAUGCCACACCCUGGCCUGACCAAAUACAUGAAGAUAAAUACAAAAUACUUCGACCAGGGCGUGACAAUCUGGGUAGUUUAUCUUUAUAUCUAAGUAGUUUAGAUGAGGUAGUUUAUCUUUAUAUCUUGGUAGUUUAUUUUUAUAUCUAGGUAGUUUAUCUUUAUAUCUAAGUAGUUUAUAUGAGGUAGUUUAUCUUUAUAUCUAGGUAGUUUAUCUUUAUAUCUAGGUAGUUUAUCUUUAUAUCUAAGUAGUUUAUAUGAGGUAGUUUAUCUUUAUAUCUAGGUAGUUUAUCUUUAUAUCUAGGUAGUUUAUCUUUAUAUCCAGGUAGUUUAUCUUUAUAUCUAGGACAUUUAUAUCUAGGUAGUUUAUAUCUAUAUAGUUUAUCUUUAUAUCCAGAUAGUUUAUCUUUAAAUCUAGGUCGUUUUUAUCUAGGUAGUUUAUCUUUAUAUCUUGGUAGUUUAUAUGAGGUAGUUUAUCUUUAUAUCCAGGUAGUUUAUCUUUAAAUCUAGGUCGUUUUUAUCUAGGUAGUUUAUCUUUAUAUCUAGGUAGUUUAUAUCUAGGUAGUUUAUCUUUAUAUCUAGGUACUUUAUCUUUAUAUCUAGGUAGUUUAUAUCCAGGUAGUUUAUCUUUAUAUCUAGGUAGUUUAUCUCUAUAUCCAUGUAGUUUAUCUUUAUAUCUAGGUAGUUUAUAUCCAGGUAGUUUAUCUUUAUAUCUAGGUAGUUUAUCUUUAUAUCUAGGUAGUUUAUCUCUAUAUCCAUGUAGUUUAUCUUUAUAUCUCGGUAGUUUAUCUUUAUAUCCAGGUAGUUUAUCUUUAUAUCUAGGUAGUUUAUAUCUAG